GCAGAGAAAAGCGUCCCCAGUUUCUUCCAGGGAUGUGCUGUGGUGAACACAAGGUGUUUCUCACAAUGACUAGAGAAUACUUUGUCCUUUUCUUUUUCUCGUAUCAUCACCUUGUCCAGGGAACCUGUUCUGCAAACAAGCCAACCUGUUAGUCUCGAUCAUCCAGUGAGAGGCAGAGAUAACAAAGGAAAAUGGGCUGGUGAGAACUGAGGCUAACCAAGCCUGUGUCAGGUCGGGGUGGUGUGUUUGGAAGGCACUAAAUUAAAUAGUAGCACUCUGUGGAACCAGUCUACAAAACAGACCUGAAGCUGGAGUUGGAUCACAUGGCUUAUGUUUAAGAAAGUCCACGGCCGGGUGCCGGUGGCUCUCGCCUGUAAUCCCAGCCUUUUGGGAGGCCAAGGUGGAUGGAUCACAAGGUCAAGAGAUAGAGACCAUCCUGGCCAACAUUGUGAAACCCCGUCUCUACUAAAAAUACAAAACUUAGCUGGGCAUGGUGGCACACGCCUGUAAUCCCAGCUACUUGGGAGGCUGAGGCAAGAGAAUUGCUUGAACCCAGGAGGCGUAGAUUGCAGUGAGCCAAGAUUGCACCACUGCACUCCAGCCUGGGCGACAGUGCGAGACUCUGUCUCAAAAAAAAAAAAAAAGGUCCUGAAGAAUGCAGCAGCCUAGAAGGGCAGUAGACCAAAGGUGGUGAGAAAUAGGAGCUCCCUGCACAGAACAGGAGGGCUCUCCUGUCUAUUAACUAUCAGGCGGGCAGAUCUCGUUAGUACCACAGAGCCAUCAUAGAGGAAGCCACAGCGUUGUCUAGUUAUGCAAAGGAGGCUCCUAGAGGGGGCGAAUUGCAGCUGAGCCUUGAGACUCCCACGAGGACGCUCAGAAGAAGGCAGCCCAAUGCAAGGAAACUGCAUAUUUUAGAGCCUCGCUGGAGAGAUGCACUCUGUUUGCACCAUGGCUCUGGGCUACGAAGGCGCUUCCACCCUGCUCGUC
rnacentral:lncRNA from 1 species